rnacentral:rRNA from 1 species
GAUGAACGCUGGCGGCGUGCCUAAUACAUGCAAGUCGAGCGAACAGACGAGGAGCUUGCUCCUCUGACGUUAGCGGCGGACGGGUGAGUAACACGUGGAUAACCUACCUAUAAGACUGGGAUAACUUCGGGAAACCGGAGCUAAUACCGGAUAAUAUAUUGAACCGCAUGGUUCAAUAGUGAAAGACGGUUUUGCUGUCACUUAUAGAUGGAUCCGCGCCGCAUUAGCUAGUUGGUAAGGUAACGGCUUACCAAGGCAACGAUGCGUAGCCGACCUGAGAGGGUGAUCGGCCACACUGGAACUGAGACACGGUCCAGACUCCUACGGGAGGCAGCAGUAGGGAAUCUUCCGCAAUGGGCGAAAGCUUGACGGAGCAACGCCACGUGAGUGAUGAAGGUCCUCGGAUCGUAAAACUCUGUUAUUAGGGAAGAACAAAUGUGUAAGUAACUAUGCACGUCUUGACGGUACCUAAUCAGAAAGCCACGGCUAACUACGUG